AUGAACGGCAGGGUGACCCUGGAUCAGGGUUGGGCCACCUACGCAGCCGUUCAUCAGAUCAAGAUAGGCUACAUAGUGACGUUCAAGCUCCUCACUCCUGACACCCUCAAGAUCAUCAUCUUCGACGACGAAGGCAUUGAGGUCGUUAACAAGUGCGGGAAGCACGACAAAGCCUUCACCGCCAAGGACUAG
rnacentral:rRNA from 1 species